rnacentral:rRNA from 1 species
UACGUAGGGUGCAAGCGUUGUCCGGAAUUAUUGGGCGUAAAGAGCUCGUAGGCGGUCUGUCACGUCGGCUGUGAAAUCCCGAGGCUCAACCUCGGGUCUGCAGUCGAUACGGGCAAACUAGAGUAUUGCAGGGGAGACUGGAAUUCCUGGUGUAGCGGUGAAAUGCGCAGAUAUCAGGAGGAACACCGGUGGCGAAGGCGCCGCUCUGGGCCGAAACUGACGCUGAGGAGCGAAAGCAUGGGUAGCAAACAGG